rnacentral:rRNA from 1 species
CACGUAGGGCGCAAGCGUUGUCCGGAAUUAUUGGGCGUAAAGAGCUCGUAGGUGGUUUGUUACGUCUGCUGUGAAAUCCUAGGGCUUAACCCUGGGCUUGCAGUGGAUACGGGCAGACUAGAGUGCGGUAGGGGAGAUUGGAAUUCCUGGUGUAGCGGUGGAAUGCGCAGAUAUCAGGAGGAACACCGAUGGCGAAGGCAGAUCUCUGGGCCGUAACUGACGCUGAGGAGCGAAAGCGUGGGGAGCGAACAGG